UACGGGGGGGGCAAGCGUUGUUCGGAAUUACUGGGCGUAAAGGGUUUGUAGGUGGCUUGUUAAGUCAGACGUGAAAUCCCUCGGCUCAACCGGGGAACUGCGUCUGAUACUGGAUGGCUUGAAUCCGGGAGAGGGAUGCGGAAUUCCAGGUGUAGCGGUGAAAUGCGUAGAUAUCUGGAGGAACACCGGUGGCGAAGGCGGCAUCCUGGACCGGCAUUGACGCUGAGGAGCGAAAGCCAGGGGAGCAAACGGG
rnacentral:rRNA from 1 species